rnacentral:rRNA from 1 species
GACGAACGCUGGCGGCGUGCCUAACACAUGCAAGUCGAACGGAAGUUAGAGCUUCGGUUUUAACUUUAGUGGCGAACGGGUGAGUAACGCGUGAGGAACCUGCCUUUCAGUGGGGGACAACAGUUGGAAACGACUGCUAAUACCGCAUGACACUUUUGGGAGACAUCUCCUGAAAGUCAAAGCUUUAUGUGCUGAAAGAUGGCCUCGCGUCUGAUUAGCUAGUUGGUGAGGUAACGGCUCACCAAGGCGACGAUCAGUAGCCGGUCUGAGAGGAUGAACGGCCACAUUGGGACUGAGAUACGGCCCAGACUCCUACGGGAGGCAGCAGUGGGGAAUAUUGGGCAAUGGGGGAAACCCUGACCCAGCAACGCCGCGUGAAGGAAGAAGGCCUUCGGGUUGUAAACUUCUUUUACCAGGGACGAAGGACGUGACGGUACCUGGAGAAAAAGCAACGGCUAACUACGUGCCAGCAGCCGCGGUAAUACGUAGGUUGCAAGCGUUGUCCGGAUUUACUGGGUGUAAAGGGCGUGUAGGCGGAGGUGCAAGUUGGGAGUGAAAUCCAUGGGCUCAACCCAUGAACUGCUCUCAAAACUGUAUCCCUUGAGUAUCGGAGAGGCAAGCGGAAUUCCUAGUGUAGCGGUGAAAUGCGUAGAUAUUAGGAGGAACACCAGUGGCGAAGGCGGCUUGCCGGACGACAACUGACGCUGAGGCGCGAAAGCGUGGGGAGCAAACAGGAUUAGAUACCCUGGUAGUCCACGCUGUAAACGAAGAAUAUUAGGUGUGGGAGGAGUGACCCCCUCCCUGCCGCAGUUAACACAAUAAGUAUUCCACCUGGGGAGUACGACCGCAAGGUUGAAACUCAAAGGAAUUGACGGGGGCCCGCACAAGCAGUGGGUUAUGUGGUUUUAAUUUGACGCAACGCGAAGAACCUUACCAGGAUUUGACAUCCAACUAACGAAGUAGAGAUACAUCAGGUACCCUUCGGGGGAAGUUGAGACAGGUGGUGCAUGGUUGUCGUCAGCUCGUGUCGUGAGAUGUUGGGUUAAGUCCCGCAACGAGCGCAACCCCUAUUGUUAGUUGCUACGAAAGAGCACUCUAGCGAGACUGCCGUUGACAAAACGGAGGAAGGCGGGGGGGACGUCAAAUCAUCAUGCCCCUUAUGUCCUGGGGUACACACGUAAUACAAUGGCAGUCAACAGAGGGAAGCAAAGCCGCGAGGUGGUGCAAAUCCCUAAAAGCCGUCUCAGUUCGGAUUGCAGGCUGCAACUCGCCUGCAUGAAGCUGGAAUUGCUAGUAAUCGCGGAUCAGCAUGCCGCGGUGAAUACAUUCCCGGGCCUUGCACA